rnacentral:lncRNA from 1 species
AAUAUAGGGGUCAAUGUGCUUGUUUUCGAGAUAUUAGCCAUUGUAAUUUUAGCGGAAAAAUGUUCUCUCUUGAUUUUUCAUAGCUUUAUUAUUGACCAGAUAAAGUACCUAAAUACUAUUAAAAAAUAAAUAAAAUUUUAUAAGACUUUUACAAAUGACUUAUAAUUAUACACGAAAAAGAUUUAUAAAAAGAAAAAUGGGGGUUCAUGGGCAAAUUUUUUUAAGGCAUUAAAAUGGUUAAAACCAGAGGAUUCCGAAAAUCUGACAAAAAUUCCAAAACAUGACAAGCAGACAUCCUUAA